UGAGUAACACGUGGGGAACCUGCCCCAUAGUCUGGGAUACCACUUGGAAACAGGUGCUAAUACCGGAUAAGAAAGCGGAUCGCAUGAUCAGCUUUUAAAAGGCGGCGUAAGCUGUCGCUAUGGGAUGGCCCCGCGGUGCAUUAGCUAGUUGGUAAGGUAACGGCUUACCAAGGCAGCGAUGCGUAGCCGACCUGAGAGGGUGAUCGGCCACACUGGAACUGAGACACGGUCCAGACUCCUACGGGAGGCAGCAGGG
rnacentral:rRNA from 1 species